rnacentral:rRNA from 1 species
UACGUAGGGGGCUAGCGUUGUCCGGAAUCAUUGGGCGUAAAGAGCGUGUAGGCGGCCCGGUAAGUCCGCUGUAAAAGUCAAAGGCUUACCUUACGUAAUGUCAGUGGAUACUGUCGGGCUAGAGUCCGGAAGAGGCGAGUGGAACUCCUGGUGUAGCGGUGGAAUGCGCAGAUAUCAGGAAGAACACCAACGGCGAAGGCAGCUCGCUGGGACGGUACUGACGCUGAGACGCGAAAGCGUGGGGAGCGAACAGG